rnacentral:rRNA from 1 species
UACGGGGGGGGCAAGCGUUGUUCGGAAUUACUGGGCGUAAAGGGCUCGUAGGCGGCCAACUAAGUCCGACGUGAAAUCCCUAGGCUUAACCUGGGAACUGCGUCGGAUACUGGAUGGCUUGAAUUCGGGAGAGGGAUGCAGAAUUCCAGGUGUAGCGGUGAAAUGCGUAGAUAUCUGGAGGAAUACCGGUGGCGAAGGCGGCAUCCUGGACCGACAUUGACGCUGAUGAGCGAAAGCUAGGGGAGCAAACGGG